GCCUCGUUAGCUUAGUUGAUAGUGCGUCUGCCUUGUAAGCGCUAGGCCGCGGGUUCGAUUCCUGCCCGGGGCG
rnacentral:tRNA from 1 species